rnacentral:tRNA from 5 species
GAGGCAUUAGCUCAGUCGGUAGAGCAUUACACUUUUAAUGUAAGGGUCCACGGUUCGAAUCCGUGAUGCCUCACCA